AUUGAACGCUGGCGGCAUGCUUUACACAUGCAAGUCGAACGGUAACAGGUUAAGCUGACGAGUAGCGAACGGGUGAGUAAUGCAUCGGAACGUGCCCGAUCGUGGGGGAUAACGCAGCGAAAGCUGCGCUAAUACCGCAUACGAUCUGAGGAUGAAAGCGGGGGACCGUAAGGCCUCGCGCGAUCGGAUCGGCCGAGGUCAGAUUAGGUAGUUGGUGGGGUAAAGGCCCACCAAGCCGACGAUCUGUAGCUGGUCUGAGAGGACGACCAGCAGCACUGGGACUGAGACACGGCCCAGACUCCUACGGGAGGCAGCAGUGGGGAAUUUUGUACAAUGGGCGAAAGCCUGAUCCAGCAAUGCCGCGUGCAGGAAGAAGGCCUUCGGGUUGUAAACUGCUUUUGUCAGUGAAGAAAACUUUAGUAAUAACACUAUUAAAGCAUGACGGUAACUGAAGAAUAAGGACCGGCUAACUACGUGCCAGCCGCCGCGGUAA
rnacentral:rRNA from 1 species